rnacentral:rRNA from 1 species
UACUACAGCUUGGCACUGAACAUUGACCCUACAUGUGUAGGAUAGGUGGGAGGCUUUGAAGCACGUACGCCAGUAUGUGUGGAGCCGUCCUUGAAAUACCACCCUUGUAGUGUUGAUGUUCUAACGUCGACCCCUAAUCGGGGUUGCGGACAGUGCCUGGUGGGUAGUUUGACUGGGGCGGUCUCCUCCCAAAGAGUAACGGAGGAGCACGAAGGUGGGCUAAUCACGGUUGGACAUCGUGAGGUUAGUGCAAUG